rnacentral:rRNA from 1 species
UACAGAGGGGGGCAAGCGUUGUUCGGAAUUACUGGGCGUAAAGGGCGCGUAGGCGGCCUUCUAAGUCGAACGUGAAAUCCCCGGGCUCAACCCGGGAACUGCGUCCGAUACUGGAAGGCUUGAAUCCGGGAGAGGGAUGUGGAAUUCCAGGUGUAGCGGUGAAAUGCGUAGAUAUCUGGAGGAACACCGGUGGCGAAGGCGACAUCCU